AGUGAACGCUGGCGGUAGGCCUAACACAUGCAAGUCGAACGGCAGCACAGUAAGAGCUUGCUCUUACGGGUGGCGAGUGGCGGACGGGUGAGGAAUACAUCGGAAUCUACUUUUUCGUGGGGGAUAACGUAGGGAAACUUACGCUAAUACCGCAUACGACCUACGGGUGAAAGCAGGGGAUCUUCGGACCUUGCGCGAUUGAAUGAGCCGAUGUCGGAUUAGCUAGUUGGCGGGGUAAAGGCCCACCAAGGCGACGAUCCGUAGCUGGUCUGAGAGGAUGAUCAGCCACACUGGAACUGAGACACGGUCCAGACUCCUACGGGAGGCAGCAGUGGGGAAUAUUGGACAAUGGGCGCAAGCCUGAUCCAGCCAUACCGCGUGGGUGAAGAAGGCCUUCGGGUUGUAAAGCCCUUUUGUUGGGAAGGAAAAGCAGCAGGUUAAUACCCCGCUGUUCUGACGGUACCCAAAGAAUAGGCACCGGCUAACUUCGUG
rnacentral:rRNA from 1 species